rnacentral:lncRNA from 1 species
UUCAUUGCUCCCACCUAACGACCCGCCAUUAACGCGACCCCUCUCAGGAGUUGAGACCUUCCUGCGGGCUGAGUCAAGGAGAGUGGGUGUCUCUUUCUUUGUGUCAGUGGGUUUGGAGAUUUAAGAGAAAAGGGAAGAAGGGAGUUUCUGGGUUGGCGUUAGAAUGGAAGAAGAAGGGAGAUCGCUGGCUGAGACGCCGACGUAUUUGGUGGCGACCGUGGUCAGUGUCUUGGUUGCUCUGGGUUUCUUCUUUCAAGGCUCUUUGAAGAGGGUCGGAAAGGUCUGGACUUUGCUUUCUUUUCUGGGCUUUCUCUAUUUAUCUUUUGCAUCCUUCAAAUGUUCGAGAAAGGUUGGAAUGAGGAAAAGGAAGGAGAAUGAUAAUGCGUUGUCAGUUGUCACGAG